rnacentral:tRNA from 1 species
GGGCUCGUAGCUCAACGGUUAGAGCAGAGGACUCAUAAUCCUUUGGUUCCUGGUUCGAGUCCAGGCGAGCCCA